GUACAGAACACGGAAUCCAAAUUAAUCAUGCAACACGGAGCUGUGGUCCCAUCACCCUGCCCCAGUGCCCCCAGUAAGAACAGCCCUUGAUGAACAUGCAAGCGCUGGCAGGAGAACAAAGUUUUCUCUGUCAGAAAACUCCUAUGUCUUCACCUCUGUAGGUAUCUCAUGUGGUGCUACCUCAGAUGUGACUUCCAAGAAUCUGAGGUAUCUCAGCACCAAAUCUGGGCUGGAAGAGAGAAACUGAGCCUAAAUCCUCAAUCUCAAGUCAAGCCAGAAGCCAACCAGGCACUGCAGCAUGUUAAUCUGCCUGAUGUGGCCCCUCAACCAUGAGAAGUUGUGUGUGACCACACCUGAGAGGCCCCAAGGGCAGGAGGAACUCCUGGCUGGAAGCUGAACUCCUGUCCAGUAUUUCCCUCCCAAUUUCAGGGACUGGAAAGCCCCAGCAGAUCCAGGCAGGCAAAGAGGAUGGAGCUGGCAGAGCAUGGGCUGGAGGUGGUGGGGACUUGGCUCCCUGGAAAAAGCCAGGACAGCUUCAUUCCAGUUCACAUCCCACACCACGUGUGGAAGGAGGGGACAGGUUGAAGGGAGGGGGAGGACGCCAGGACAAAACGCUGUCAGCAGGAAGUGAGUUCUCUGCUGGUUUGGCACUGCCCUGCUGGCAGCAGUGACACCAUCCCUCCUCCCCCUGCUCCUCGGGAAGCAGUGCAGGGCUCCCAGGGACCGGCAGAUGGCAACCACAGUGAGCCCAGCGCUCAUCCUCCCUCCAAGUGCCUGGCAGUUUUGCCCUUGGCAAACUGCUCUGGAGAUCCCGGCUGGCACCGAGGCGGCUCAAAGUGAAAGUCAGCACAUGCUCACAGCUGUGCCCUGGAAUCCUCAGCGAGCCCUGCCCAUGCACCAGCCCCAGCAGCAGCCUGGAUUCAUGCUCACAGGUGUGCACAGAACACCUCCGUGCACACCAACUGCACCAGGGGCAGCAAUUUCCCCACCUGAACACGUUACCUGGCUUUUCUCUGCGAUAGGAAUCACCCCCAUCCCAAAAACCAACCCUAGCCAACUGCUUUAAGCAU